UUACCCACUCUCCCCCAGCCUUCUCUCUCCAAAGUUGCUUUAUUCUCUCUCUUCAAAACCCACAGAAAUCCACAAAUCCAACUGUACAUAUUCGGUGGUGUCGUCGCAUUGAACUUUCGCAAACGGUGUCGACGACGUAGGAUCGACGAGCUCCGAUCGCCAUUUGAAAACGACGUUUUAAAAACAAUAACAAGCUCCAGUUAUUAAUAUUUCUUCAUGAUUUGCAGUUCAUAAAAUCGGCCUGUUAUAUAUAUUUUAAUCACGAUAUAUAAACCUCAACUUCUUCUUGGGUCAUCCCUUCCUUCCAGGAAAUUGCAAUUUUCAUAAGGACGUUAUAAAAUCGAUCUGUUUGUGAGUUCGUGAAACUGCAAUUUUUUUCAAAAGAAACGUGUUUUUGAAAAACUGCAAAAAAAAAAAAAAAAAAUUGAACCCAAUUGGCCUGUUAUUAAUAUAGCUUCAUUCCAACGAUUUCUUGUUCCACACUGCACAUUCCCAGAAUUUCAUGUGCAUUUUUGGGUUAUUUUGUGUUGUGGUUUUCCCUUCAACUUCAAAUUAAAGGAGAAAGAUAACGAUAAUAAAGGAAAAUUAUUCCUUUGUUGUGGUUGGAAUUGUGGAUUUUGGGAGUGGGUUGUAAAAGAAAAAUCAAGAGCUGAAUGUAGUCGUGGCAACACUACCGCCCCUACCACUGUGAUGGACAACACAGAUGAAGAAAUGUCGCGUGUGUUUCAAUCUAGAGUUAGGAUAAGUGACGAAAAAGAAUUACAGAUUUUGGUGAAUGUGAAUGUGAGCAUCCGGACGGAAAGAAGAACCACGGAAGUGAAUGCGAAAAGGAAGCGGCCUACUUGACAUGUUGCAUCAUGGAAACAUUUUAGAUGCUUCAGUUUCGUGUAGACAAGAACUAAUUACCAGUUUCAGUUUUGAUCUUGUAAGCAAACUGGUAUUGUUUUAUGUUCCAAACUUGCAAUCGUUGUGGAUAAUCUAUAUUUGCAUUAUGCCCCUGUAUAUUAAUCUAUAUUUUUGCAUUA